GAUCAUGCUCAGGAUGAACGCUAGCGGCAGGCUUAACACAUGCAAGUCGAGGGGCAGCGGGGAGUAGCAAUACUCCGCCGGCGACCGGCGCACGGGUGCGUAACGCGUAUGCAACCUACCUUUAACAGGGGCAUAACGCUGAGAAAUUGGUACUAAUUCCCCAUAACAUUCGAGAAGGCAUCUUCUUGGGUUAAAAACUCCGGUGGUUAAAGAUGGGCAUGCGUUGUAUUAGCUAGUUGGUGAGGUAACGG
rnacentral:rRNA from 1 species